AACGAGCGGCUGGCGGCAUGCCUAACACAUGCAAGGUCGAACGAGACCUUCGGGUCUAGUGGCGCACGGGUGCGUAACGCGUGGGCAACCUGCCCUGCAGACUGGGAUAACUUCGGGAAACCGGAGCUAAUACCGGAUAACACCGAAAACCGCAUGGUUUUCGGUUGAAAGGCGGCUUUUAGCUGUCACUGCAGGAUGGGCCCGCGGCGCAUUAGCUAGUUGGUGAGGUAACGGCUCACCAAGGCGACGAUGCGUAGCCGACCUGAGAGGGUGACCGGCCACACUGGGACUGAGACACGGCCCAG
rnacentral:rRNA from 1 species